rnacentral:rRNA from 1 species
UACAGAGGUCUCAAGCGUUGUUCGGAUUCAUUGGGCGUAAAGGGUGCGUAGGCGGCGCGGUAAGUCGGGGUGUGAAAUCUCGGGGCUUAACUCCGAAACUGCAUUCGAUACUGCCGUGCUUGAGGACUGGAGAGGAGACUGGAAUUCAUGGUGUAGCAGUGAAAUGCGUAGAGAUCAUGAGGAAGACCAGUGGCGAAGGCGGGUCUCUGGACAGUUCCUGACACUGAGGCACGAAGGCCAGGGGAGCAAACGGG